AUGCAAGUCGAACGAUGAAGCUUAAAUGAUCUCUUCGGAGUGACUUUAAGUGGAUUAGUGGCGGACGGGUGAGUAACGCGUGAGUAACCUGCCUUACACAAGGGGAUAGCCGUUGGAAACGACGAAUAAUACCCUAUGAUAUGAUAGCCUCGCAUGAAGCUAUCAUCAAAGAUUUAUCGGUGUAGGAUGGACUCGCGUCUGAUUAGCUAGUUGGUGGGGUAACAGCCUACCAAGGCAACGAUCAGUAGCCGGCUUGAGAGAGUGUACGGCCACAUUGGGACUGAGACACGGCCCAGACUCCUACGGGAGGCAGCAGUGGGGAAUUUUGCACAAUGGGGGCAACCCUGAUGCAGCGACGCCGCGUGAUUUAGAAGGCCUUCGGGUUGUAAAAAUCUUUUGUAUGGGAAGAAAAUGACAGUACCAUACGAAUAAGGACCGGCUAAUUACGUGCCAGCAGCCGCGGUAAUACGUAAGGUCCGAGCGUUGUCCGGAAUCAUUGGGCGUAAAGGGUACGUAGGCGGAUAAGCAAGUUAGAAGUGAAAUCCUAUAGCUCAACUAUAGUAAGCUUUUAAAACUGUUCAUCUUGAGGUAUGGAAGGGAAAGUGGAAUUCCUAGUGUAGCGGUGAAAUGCGCAGAUAUUAGGAGGAAUACCGGUGGCGAAGGCGACUUUCUGGCCAUAAACUGACGCUGAGGUACGAAAGCGUGGGUAGCAAACAGGAUUAGAUACCCUGGUAGUCCACGCCGUAAACGAUGAGUGUUAGGUGUCUGGAAAAAUC
rnacentral:rRNA from 1 species